GACGAACGCUGGCGGCGUGCCUAACACAUGCAAGUCGAACGGAAGGGCCCUGAUUUUGUGGGGUGCUCGUGUGGCGAACGGGGGAGAAACACGUGUGUAACACGCCCUUGUCUUUGUGAUAAAUUCAGGAAAAUGGGGCUCAUACCGGAUAGGAGCUUCUGCAGCACGGUGGGGGUUGGAAAGAUUCGGUGGUGGGGGAUGGUCUGGCGGCUUAUCCGCUGGUUGGGCGGGUAGUGACUUACCAAGCCUUUGACGGGUAGGCGGCCUGAGAGGGUGACCGGGCACAUGGCGACUGCGAUACGGCGCAGACUCCUACGGGAGGCAGCAGUGGGGAAUAUUGCACAAUGGGCGGAAGCCUGAGGCAGCAACGCCGCGUGCGUGAUGACGUCCUUCGGGUUGUAAACCGAUGUCGCAGUAGACGAAGCGUGCGUGACGGUACUGAAUCAGGAAGCACCGGCUAACUACGUG
rnacentral:rRNA from 1 species